rnacentral:lncRNA from 1 species
CUGAGCCCGACAUGGGCUGAUGGUUUGAAAUGAGGGGUCUGGCUGGCAAAUUCAAGCCCAGACCCUCUCCACACCUCCCCCUGCGAUCACCCUCUUGGGAGACGCCAGGGGUACCAUUUUGUCCACGUGACACCCCCAGGUUCAGAGGGCUGACUCCUUAGACUCAGGCGGACAUGGAGUUGGGCUCAGACCAGGAAAGCCCUGGCCCCUGAGUUCACGUUCACUGCACAGAGACCCCCCUGGGUCGUCUUCUCUUCUGAGCUCGUUUCUCCACCUGGCUCUCAGGCAGACCCUCUGGAAGCUGUGACUCACCCAGUAAGAUGUCCUCAAACCUGCCCCAGAGCUGGCCUCUCCUGUGAUAACUGCAAAUGCCUAUGUGCUGAGUAGGCAGGUCUGUUCUCUAUUCCUCAGGACGCCACAGGGAUCUUAUGAAUGUUAGUAUAACAGACAAGGUAGCAGAAGCUCAGACACAGGCUACACCUUCUCUAAGCCCCACAGCCAAGCAGGGCAGAGCAGAUCUUUGGAUGCUCUGGGUCUCACGCCCAAGCCACACUGCCAACCUCAGCAUUUCAUUCCCCUUCCAGACCUUUCUCUUCACCCCCUCCCUGAGCUGAGACCCCAACAAGUAGUAGAAGCUUGAGGGGAGCUGGGGACAAGCCGAGGGUGCUCUGUGCCCAUCACACCCCCAACGCUGGUCCCCAGCUCCUUCCCAUCUCUGGCUCCAGUGUGGAGAGGCAGGCAGCCAGCUGCAGGGCCAGGCGCCUCUGGGGAAAACAAAUAAAAAUAAACAGUGAUAACUCAGUCCCCGGUGGGUACAUGGGCCACAGCUGUAGCCAAUUAACAUUCCUCUAGGGUUUGGGGUGCCUCUCCUCCAGCAGCACCUCAUAAAUGUCAGGAGGGGCUUGGGUUUUUCUGAGGCCUGACUGAGGCUAGCACCCUGAGCCAGGCCUGCCCAGGUGGCUUCUCCCUGGGAGGAGAAGGGCGAGCGCAGCCUCUCGGGGGCUGCAGGGAAACCAGAGUGCCAGGGAGCGCUGGCCGAUGAGCAUCACAGGAGCCCAUCACGGCCUGGAUUGUUAUGAAAACUUUUCAUACCAGAGAAGAGGGGGAAAGGCACAAAGUCUGCCCCUCCUCACCCCGACUCCCUCCCCACAUGGGUAAGAGAUACUAAAGCCUCAUCCAGUCGCUCCCAUUGCCCAGCGGGGCGGGGCGGGCGGGGGUAUUUCUCCGAACCAGUGAGUCGGCAGCGCCAAGAUCACGGUGAUCUGCAUCUCAGGGGCUGCACCAGCUCUGAACAUGCGGGUGUAGGGCGCGCUAAGAAAUCCCACCAGGAGGGGGCGAUAAACACCAAGACCCAAUGCUGAGUCCAGACAGCGUCAGGACCUUGAGAUUCGCUCACCUUUGCGCAUCUGACCCACCCCGAGUGGACCUUCGAUAGCACAGCUGCUAAUGGUCCCACACCUCUUCCAGGUGCGCGUCCCAGAGGGUGUGUGUGGGCGUGGGUGUGGGUGUGGGCUCAGUUUGAGUGUAUGAGAAUGAACGAGGUGAAUGGCCCGCGAAAUCUCUUAGUCGCGAAUCUUGAGAAAGAGAUGAAAAGCUCUUUUGAAAAAGCUGGUAUGAUAGGAGGAGGAGGGUAGAAAGUGAUGGGGUACCCAGGAAGACUACUGCCUAAUUGGCAGACUUCCCAUCAAUUACGGUGCGUUGGGACACUUCUCGUCGGGUUUUUCUCUGUCUCCCCCUAGUGGACAUCAAAGGAACUUUACAAACUUUUUUAACAGGGAAGAUACAUUGUUUUCCGUUUCUCUCCCUCCCUCCCGUCCUUCCUCAUCAUUGCUUUAUUUUAAAUUUUUAUUCUGCUGUUUUUCAUCUUUUAGUGUUCAGUGGACAUCAGCAAGGAAAUAGAACAUGAGACAGCAAAUAAAAUACUAAAAUUUGUCUGGCUCCUGGCAGAGUUCCAAGUCGUCCUGUUAAACAAGUUACUAAAUAAUACAUAACUCCAUGUGUGUACAUGUGCAUACACGUGAAUGUAAAUGGCCUGAAAAGUUUGGGGAAGGAUCUGAAAGGAUGCACAUCCAACACGGUGACUGCUGGGGAGGGGGAAGCAAAGAGAUUUUUAGAUUUUCCUGCAAUGUUUGUGUCCUUAGAUGAGAAUGCACUCUGUGAAGUUAAAAAUUAAUAAACAUAGAUUUUUAGCAUAAAACUAAUCUAUGCUUCUUAAAAAAGUUACAGUACUCACUGUAUAGUUAAGUAGAAUGCUAGUUAUGAAGUAAUACAUAUGAUAUAAUUCCAUGUCUUAAAAUAAUGUAUGUGCAGCACAGAAAAAAGGCCGGGAAAGUAAAACUUUUACUGAUCAUUAUUUCUGAAAGGUAGGGUUAAGGCAGUCUUUAUUAUUUAUUCAGUGAUCUAUGUCAUAUAUCAUGCUGUAUUUCUGUGUUAUCUCUCUCUAUUUUUUUUUUUUUUUUUGGUUUUUUAGGGCCACACCCAAGGCAUAUGGAGGUUCCCAGGCUGGGGGUCCAGUCGGAGCUAUAGCUCCUGGCCUACCCACUGCCACAGCAACAUGGGAUCUGAGCCGCUUCUGAGACCUACACCACAGCUCAUAGCAAUGCCAGAUCUCUGACCUACUGAGCAAAGCCAGGGAUCAAACCCACAUCCUCAUGGAUCCUAGUCAGAUUCAUUUCUUUUGCACCACGACAGGAACUCCAGUGUUUCGAUUGUAUUGCUUUGCAGGUAUAAACUGGGAAGAACUAACAUCUUUUCCCCAUGAUCAUGAUAUAUCUUACCAUAAAUCAGAAUUUUUGCAUCCUUCAGUAAAGUUUUAUAAUUGCGUUUGUAAAGGUGGAGUUUUAGGGGAUUUUUUCGGUUAUUCUUUUCUAGACGUGUAAUUUUCUCUGGGGUUUUUGUUGUUUCAUUUUGCUUUGUAGAAUGAGGUUCCUUCCUACUGCCUAUGUAUGAUUGAUUAUUAUUGAUGGAUUUCAACAGAACUAUUGAUUUUUCCACGUUGACCUCAUAUUUAACCACUUGCUGAAAUUUGUAAUUGGUUUUAAAGGUUUGAACAUCAGUUCUCUGGGACUUUUCAGAUGCCUGAUCCAAUCAUUGAUAAAGAGUUUUCUUUUCCUUUCAAAGAUUUAUACUUUUUCCUUUUUCUUGUCUUAUUUCAUAACUAGGACCACUAGUAAAAUUUGGGGUUGGAGCAGGAAUUGUGGGCACCCUUGUCUUCUGACAUGAGUGGGACUACUUCUAAUGUUUCUCCAUGAAAUGUAUUUGUUACUUAGCUUUUAUCUUAUCGAUGCAAAAUCAUUUUUCAGCAUAUUGAAAACUACCUUUCUUUAUUCCAAUCAUUGCUUUUGACAUCAACUGACACAGGAAGUGAUGAAAACAAGGCGAUACUGCAAAGCUGUGUUAUCCAACAGAAAUUUCUGAGAUAGGUAAACCAAUGAGACUCAGCAGGUUAAGAGCCCUACAUAGUGCCCAUGAGGAUGCGGCUUCGAUUCCUGGCCUCCCUCAGUAGGUUAAGGAUCUGGUGUUGUUGUAAGCUGCAGCAUGGGUUCAAGUUGAAGAUUGGAUAUGGAAUUGCUGUGGCUGUGACGUAGGCCAACAGCUGUGGCUCCAAUUUGACCCCUAGCCCGGGGAUUUCCAUAUGCAGCGGGCAAGGGUGUAAAAAGAAAAAAGAAAGUAAUUUCUGAGAUAAUAGAAAAGCCUACAUCUGCAACUCUCCAGUCAGGACUGCAGCCACUAAUCCCUUGUGGUUACUGAGCACUUGAAAGGCCUCUAGGAAUUCCCGUUGUGGCUCAGUGAGUUAAGAAGCCAACUAGUAUCCGUAAGAAUGUGGGUUCAGUCCUUGGCCUCGCUCUAAUGGGUUAAGGAUCCAGUGUUGCUGCAAGCUGUGGUGUAGGUUGCAGAUGCAGCUUGGACCCUGUGUGGCUGUGGCAUAGACCAGCCGCUGCAGGUCCGAUUUGACCCCUAGCCUGGGAACUUCCAUUUGGGACAGGAGCAGCCCUAAAAACAAAACAAACAACAACAACCAAAAAAACUGUGGAACAAUGUGGGUUUAUGAAUUUAUUUUUCAACUGUGACUUUACAGUUUAAAUACUGAUCAAGUAUUUCCAAUGAAAAUUCAGCAUCCAAAUUAAGAUGUGUUGCAAGUAAAAAUACAAACUGGAUUUUAAAGGUUUGGUUCAGAAAAGGAAUGUAGGAUAAGACUUGACACCAUGAAACUCCUAGAAGCAAUAAUAGGCAAAUUCUCUGACAUAAAUCAUGCCAGUGUCUUUUAGGUCAGUCUCCCAAGGCAAUAGGAAUAAACACCAAAGUAAACAAAUGGGACCUAAUCAAACUCACAGACUUUUGCACAGCAAAAGGAAACCACAGACAAAAAAAAAAAAAAAGGACAACCUACAGAAUGGGCGAAAAUAUUUAAAAACGAUCUACCAGCAAGGGCUUAAUUUCCAAACAGCUCAUAAAACUCAACAAUAAAAACCCAAAUCACUGGAUUAAAAAAAAUUGGCAGAAGACCUAAAUAGACAUUUCUUCAAAGAAGACAUACAGAUGGCCAAUAGGCACAUGAAAAGAUGCUCAACAUCACUAAUUAUUAGAGAAAUGUAAAUCAAACUACAGUGAGGUACCAUCUCACACCAGUAGAAUAGCCAUCAUUUAAAAAGUUUACAGAUGACAAAUGCUGGAAAGGGUGUGGAGAAAAGGGAAAUGUCCUGCACUGUUGGUGAGAAUGUAAGUUGGUGUAGCCACUGUGGAAAACAGUGUAGAGUUUCCUCAAAAACUAAAAAUAAAACUACUGUAUGAUCCAGCAAUUCCACUCCUGGGCAUAUAUCCAGACAAAACUAUAAUUCAAAAAGAUACAUGCACCCCUAUGUUCAUUGCAGUGCUCUUCCCAAUAGCCAAGACACAGAAACAACCUAAAUGUUCAUUAGCAGAUGAAUGGAUUAAGAAAAUGUGGUUAAAAAAAAAAGAAAGAAAGAAAGAUGGGAAUUCCUGUCCUGGCUCAGUGGUAACAAAUCCAACUAGUUUCCAUGAGGACACGGUUUUGAUCCCUGGCCUUGCUUAGUGGGUUAAGGAUCCAGCGUUGCUGUGAGCUGUGGUGUAGGUCACAGACAUGGCUUGGAUCUGUUGUUGAUGUGGCUGUAGUUUAGGCCAGAGGCUACAGCUCUGUUUUGAUCCCUAUCCUGAGAAUCUCCAUAGGCCGCAAGUGGGGCCCUAAAAAGAUCAAAAAAAAAAGAAAAAGAAAAAA